UUGUUUUAAGUCAAAAACAAGUAAAAGUAGGUUGAUUCUCACUAGACUUUGAUUAAAUAGUUUUUUUUUAUUGAUUAAAACUUGAUGUCCAAGUCUUAAAUAGAGUUGGACAAACACACGACGACUCAACCUACGAGUAACUGAAAAAGAGCGAAACGGGUGGUCACGAGUCAGCAAGUUGAAGGCAAGUUCGAGUGGAAAGAUUUAGAUUGCGGAUAACCAAACCUCCAUGUAUAUGGUAUAUCAAGCGACGUCGUUUUGAUGUUAAACGCUUGCGUUUUGAUUUUUAGGGUUUGCAUAACCCAUUCAUUCGCUCAAACUCGAUCUUGUUGCCUUGCCUCCUUAGAUUCUCUCACUUCACUAACAAAAACAUGGAGGCUGGUCUUCAAGCUCUAUCUCACUCUGAGUCACGAACACAAUCGUAGAACCUUCAGUCAUCGUCGUUGUUUAACUCGCACUCACCACCACAUCUAGCCCUCACGACUCACUCGAUCUACGUAGAAACAAUUUCGAACCCAGAUCUCGAUCUUUCAUUCAUCUUGUUGACUCUCUCUAUGUGUAACUACGCUCAAAUCAAAGGUCAUAUCUUCUGCUUUUAAUGUUUGUCAUUUUUUUUUCUAAUUUUUUUUUCGAUUUAGGGUUUCUGACCAUUUGCUUUUGUUUCUUGUUUCAUGAUUCACAUCUCUACUCUGCAUAUGUUACAAAUCUAAAGAAUGAAGCUUUAAUUAAGCAUGCCAAUGUUGUCUAUGGAUGAUGUUAAGUUGCAAAUUUGCUUUGAAUCUUAAAGCAUCAUGAUCCAUUUUACUUUGGAUGAUGUAAGUAUUUUAUCAUGUUUAUUUUAUCUAGUUUGUUGAUAAAAUUAUAGUUUAUCAAAUAUCUUGUUUUUCAUGGUGCGAUGGUGCCCCAUUGUGAAUUAACUUGUAUAAUGCAUACACCUACAUCUGUUACAUAGUUGAAUUAUAAUGACUUUUC